GACGAACGCUGGCGGCGUGCCUAAUACAUGCAAGUUGAGCGAUGAAGAUUGGUGCUUGCACCAAUUUGAAGAGCAGCGAACGGGUGAGUAACGCGUGGGGAAUCUGCCUUUGAGCGGGGGACAACAUUUGGAAACGAAUGCUAAUACCGCAUAACAACUUUAAACAUAAGUUUUAAGUUUGAAAGAUGCAAUUGCAUCACUCAAAGAUGAUCCCGCGUUGUAUUAGCUAGUUGGUGAGGUAAAGGCUCACCAAGGCGAUGAUACAUAGCCGACCUGAGAGGGUGCUCGGCCACAUUGAGACUGAGACACGGCCCAAACUCCUACGGGUGGCGGCAGUAGGGAUUCGUCGGCAAUGGACGAAAGUCUGACCGAGCAACGCCGCGUGAGUGAGGAGGGUUUUCGGAUCGUGGAACUCUGUUGGUAGAGAGGAACGUUGGUGAGAGUGGAAAGCUCAUCAAGUGACGGUAACUACCCAGAAAGGGACGGCUAACUACGUG
rnacentral:rRNA from 1 species